rnacentral:rRNA from 1 species
CCUACGGGAGGCAGCAGUGAGGAAUAUUGGUCAAUGGGCGCGAGCCUGAACCAGCCAAGUAGCGUGAAGGAUGACUGCCCUACGGGUUGUAAACUUCUUUUAUAAAGGAAUAAAGUGAGGCACGUGUGCCUUUUUGUAUGUACUUUAUGAAUAAGGAUCGGCUAACUCCGUGCCAGCAGCCGCGGUAAUACGGAGGAUCCGAGCGUUAUCCGGAUUUAUUGGGUUUAAAGGGAGCGUAGAUGGGUUGUUAAGUCAGUUGUGAAAGUUUGCGGCUCAACCGUAAAAUUGCCAUUGAUACUGGCAUCCUUGAGUGCAGUUGAGGUGGGCGGAAUGCGUGGUGUAGCGGUGAAAUGCUUAGAUAUCACGAAGAACUCCGAUUGCGAAGGCAGCCUACUAACCUGCCACUGACAUUGAUGCUCGAAAGUGUGGGUAUCAAACAGGAUUAGAUACCCCUGUAGUC